UACGUAGGUGGCAAGCGAUACUCGGAAUCACUAGGCGUAAAGCGCAGGUAGGCGGUUUGAUAAGUCUCUUGUGAAAGCUCCCGGCUUAACUGGGAGAGGCCAAGGGAAACUGUCAGGCUGGAGUGUGGCAGAGGAAGCUGGAAUUCCCGGUGUAGCGGUGAAAUGCGUAGAUAUGCGGAGGAACACCGAUGGCGAAGGGCAAUCCCCCUGGACCUGUACUGACGCUCAUGCACGAA
rnacentral:rRNA from 1 species